rnacentral:rRNA from 1 species
UUCGGACAAUGGGCGCAAGCCUGAUCCAGCCAUGCCGCGUGUGUGAAGAAGGCCUUCGGGUUGUAAAGCACUUUCAGCNNGGAGGAAGGNCNGNAGGUUAAUACCUUGNUGNNUUGACGUUACCCACAGAAUAAGCACCGGCUAACUCCGUGCCAGCAGCCGCGGUAAUACGGAGGGUGCAAGCGUUAAUCGGAAUUACUGGGCGUAAAGCGCGCGUAGGUGGUUNGUUAAGUCGGAUGUGAAAUCCCCGGGCUCAACCUGGGAACUGCAUUCGAAACUGGCGAGCUAGAGUAUGGUAGAGGGNGGUGGAAUUCCNGGUGUAGCGGUGAAAAUGCGUAGAGAUCGGGAGGAACACC